UAGGGAAUCUUCCACAAUGGACGCAAGUCUGAUGGAGCAACGCCGCGUGAGUGAAGAAGGCUUUCGGGUCGUAAAACUCUGUUAUUGAAGAAGAACGUGCGUGACAGUAACUGGUCAUGCAGUGACGGUAUUCAAUCAGAAAAGUCACGGCUAACUACGUGCCAGCAGCCGCGGUAAUACGUAGGUGGCAAGCGUUGUCCGGAUUUAUUGGGCGUAAAGCGAGUGCGGGCGGUCUUUUAAGUCUGAUGUGAAAGCCUUCGGCUUAACCGAAGAAGGGCAUCGGAAACUGGGAGACUUGAGUGCAGAAGAGGAGAGUGGAACUCCAUGUGUAGCGGUGAAAUGCGUAGAUAUAUGGAAGAACACCAGUGGCGAAGGCGGCUCUCUGGUCUGUAACUGACGCUGAGGCUCGAAAGCGUGGGUAGCAAACAGGAUUAG
rnacentral:rRNA from 1 species